UACGUAGGCAGCGAGCGUUGUUCGGAGUUAUUGGGUUUAAAGGGUGCGUAGGCGGCAUUUUAAGUCAGUGGUGAAAUACUUCAGCUUAACUGGAGAGGUGCCAUUGAUACUGGGAUGCUUGAGUACUGAUGAGGUAGGCGGAAUGGACGGUGUAGCGGUGAAAUGCUUAGAUAUCGUCCAGAACACCGAUAGCGAAGGCAGCUUACUAAGGAGUAACUGACGCUGAGGCACGAAAGUGUGGGGAUCAAACAGG
rnacentral:rRNA from 1 species